UACAGAGGUCCCAAGCGUUGUUCGGAUUCAUUGGGCGUAAAGGGUGCGUAGGCGGCGGGGCAAGUCAGGUGUGAAAUCUCGGGGCUCAACCCCGAAACUGCAUUUGAUACUGCCUUGCUAGAGUAUUGGAGAGGAGAUUGGAAUUUACGGUGUAGCAGUGAAAUGCGUAGAGAUCGUAAGGAAGACCAGUGGCGAAGGCGGGUCUCUGGACAGUUCCUGACACUGAGGCACGAAGGCCAGGGGAGCAAACGGG
rnacentral:rRNA from 1 species